AUGAAAUGCAUUAAAGAUAUGCAAAAAGAAAUUCGACUUCUCCCUGAAAAAUGUGCCGAGAUAGUAUUAGAGAAGCUGGAGAAGAAAGGUCUUGUCUUCAAGCCAAACAGGGGGUCUGGUGAUGACGUUGAGUUUGUGGAGCAUAGUGAAGACUAUGUGUGGAAGUAUGGUCCAUCAAAAUACAAAUCAUCAAAAUAUUGGACAGAUGUAAAAUCAACUCCUGCAAAAGAAGAUAUGGACAACAGGGUGGACGCAUCCUUCACCAUUGGGAACGGGAAGAAAUUGGCGCGUGAGAAAGGUGUGCAUCACAACACACAUGGUACAGGAGAUGAAGGCGACCCCUUCAUUAUUGACGACAAUGGUAAUUCACCCAACCCAUCUCUUGCGACGGUAGACACGAAUGACUUUCCAGCUAUUACUUCAACCCCCAAGAAUAUGAAUGAAGUGUCAGACGGGUCUAGCGCCGAUAAAUAUGAGGAGAUUAGUAUGGAUAGUCUGAACACCCGUAUAAAAAAUGCGAAAGAAAAUGGCACUAAGGAGAAUGAUGGGAAACGCAAGAGGAAACAGUCAAAAUACUGUCUUUCACCCUACCAGCAGAAUGGUGGACGUAAACAUGCAAAGAAAAAUCUGUUUGUAUAA
rnacentral:rRNA from 1 species